GACGAACGCUGGCGGCAUGCUUAACACAUGCAGGUCGAACGGAAAGGCCCUGCUUUUGUGGGGUGCUCGAGUGGCGAACGGGUGAGUAACACGUGAGUAACCUGCCCUUGACUUUGGGAUAACUUCAGGAAACUGGGGCUAAUACCGGAUAGGAGCUCCUGCUGCAUGGUGGGGGUUGGAAAGUUUCGGCGGUUGGGGAUGGACUCGCGGCUUAUCAGCUUGUUGGUGGGGUAGUGGCUUACCAAGGCUUUGACGGGUAGCCGGCCUGAGAGGGUGACCGGCCACAUUGGGACUGCGAUACGGCCCAGACUCCUGCGGGAGGCAGCAGUGGGGAAUAUUGCACAAUGGGCGGAAGCCUGAUGCAGCAACGCCGCGUGCGGGAUGACGGCCUUCGGGUUGUAAACCGCUUUCGCCUGUGACGAAGCGUGAGUGACGGUAAUGGGUAAAGAAGCACCGGCUAACUACGUG
rnacentral:rRNA from 1 species